rnacentral:rRNA from 1 species
UACGUGGGGGGGCUAGCGUUGUCCGGAAUUACUGGGCGUAAAGGGCUCGUAGGUGGCCAACUAAGUCAGACGUGAAAUCCCCAGGCUUAACCUGGGAACUGCGUCUGAUACUGGAUGGCUUGAAUUCGGGAGAGGGAUGCAGAAUUCCAGGUGUAGCGGUGAAAUGCGUAGAUAUCUGGAGGAAUACCGGUGGCGAAGGCGGCAUCCUGGACCGAGAUUGACACUGAUGAGCGAAAGCCAGGGGAGCAAACGGG